UACGUAGGGGGCGAGCGUUAUCCGGAUUCACUGGGCGUAAAGGGAGCGCAGGCGGCACGGCAAGUCCGGUGUGAAAGCCCGGGGCCCAACCCCGGGACUGCACUGGAAACUGCCGGGCUGGAGUGUCAGAGGGGCAGGCGGAAUUCCUAGUGUAGCGGUGAAAUGCGUAGAUAUUAGGAGGAACACCGGUGGCGAAGGCGGCCUGCUGGACGACGACUGACGCUGAGGCUCGAAAGCGUGGGGAGCAAACAGG
rnacentral:rRNA from 1 species